CUACGGGUGGCUCCAGUGGGGAAUAUUGCACAAUGGGCGCAAGCCUGAUGCAGCCAUGCCGCGUGUAUGAAGAAGGCCUUCGGGUUGUAAAGUACUUUCAGCGGGGAGGAAGGGAGUAAAGUUAAUACCUUUGCUCAUUGACGUUACCCGCAGAAGAAGCACCGGCUAACUCCGUGCCAGCAGCCGCGGUAAUACGGAGGGUACAAGCGUUAAUCGGAAUUACUGGGCGUAAAGCGCACGCAGGCGGGUUGUUAAGUCAGAUGUGAAAUCCCCGGGCUCAACCUGGGAACUGCAUCUGAUACUGGCAAGCUUGAGUCUCGUAGAGGGGGGUAGAAUUCCAGGUGUAGCGGUGAAAUGCGUAGAGAUCUGGAGGAAUACCGGUGGCGAAGGCGGCCCCCUGGACGAAGACUGACGCUCAGGUGCGAAAGCGUGGGGAGCAAACAGGAUUAGAUACCCCUGUAGUC
rnacentral:rRNA from 1 species